GAUGAAGAACGUAGCGAAAUGCGAUAAGUAAUGUGAAUUGCAGAAUUCAGUGAAUCAUCGAAUCUUUGAACGCACAUUGCGCCCGCCAGUAUUCUGGCGGGCAUGCCUGUUCGAGCGCCAUUUCAACCAUCAAGCCCCAGGCUUGUGUUGGGGACCUGCGGCUGCCGCAGGCCCUGAAAACCAGUGGCGGGCUCGCUGUCACACCGGGCGUAGUAGAUUUUAUCUCGCUCAGGGCGUGCUGCGGGUUCCGGCCGUUAAAAAGCCUUUUUUACCCAAGGUUGACCUCGGAUCAGGUAGGAAGACCCGCUGAACUUAAGCAUAUCAAUAAGCGGAGGA
rnacentral:misc_RNA from 1 species